GAUUACAAAAACCCUCUCUGUAGUCGCGGCUG
rfam:Dysgonomonas mossii DSM 22836 genomic scaffold supercont1.1, whole genome shotgun sequence.